GGAGAACUGCAGCGCAGCGGCCGUGGGAAUUGGUAGGGUGCAAGUGGUGUUGGGGAGUGUAUGGCGGAAAGAGCUAGUCGGCGGCUUGUCGCGUCUGCUGUGAAAUCCCGGAGGUCAACGCCGGGCCUGCAGUGGGUACGGGCAAGCUAGAGUGCGGGAGGGGAGAUUGGAAUUGCUGGUGUAGCGGUGGAAGGCGCAGAUAUCAGGAGGAACACCGAUGGCGAAGGCAGAUCUCUGGGCCGCUACUGACGCUGAGGAGCGAAAGCAUGGGGAGCGAACAGGAUUAGAUACCCUGGAGUC
rnacentral:rRNA from 1 species